rnacentral:rRNA from 1 species
GAUGAACGCUAGCGGCAGGCUUAAUACAUGCAAGUCGAGGGGCAGCAGCUCUGUAGCAAUACAGAGGCUGGCGACCGGCAAACGGGUGCGGAACACGUACGCAACCUUCCUUUAACUGGAAGAUAGCCCACCGAAAGGUGGAUUAAUAUUCCAUAGUAUAUUGAAAAGGCAUCUUUUUGAUAUUAAAGCUCCGGCGGUUAAAGAUGGGCGUGCGUCUGAUUAGGUAGUUGGCGGGGUGAUGGCCCACCAAGCCAACGAUCAGUAGCUGAUGUGAAGACAGGCUCAGCCACACGGGCACUGAGACACGGGCCCGACUCCUGCGGGAGGCAGCAGUAAGGAAUAUUGGUCAAUGGACGCAAGUCUGAACCAGCCAUGCCGCGUGGAGGAUGAAGGCCCUCUGGGUUGUAAACUUCUUUUGUACGGAGCGAAAAGGCUCUCUCUAAUACAGGGGGCUCAUGACGGUACCGUAAGAAUAAGCACCGGCUAACUACGUGCCAGCAGCCGCCGUAAUAC